AUUAGUAGAUGAGUUGCGUUCAAUGGUUUGUCGUGCAGGUGGUUGUUGGUCGCUGGGAGAACAAUUGCUGGUGUUAAAUUCUCAUGGAGGAGUGACCGAUGCUGAACGAGCCGCGCACUGUACAUGAGCGUUUGCAAUCUAUGGAAGUAUAUGGUGAUAAUUGUAGCCCUUUAAUGGUGUGUGAUUUGCCAAAGUCUCAGAGGUAUUCGUUUUAUUGUGAGGAAGAAGUGCCGAGAGAUCAGUAAGACGACCCUGGAUUUCAUCAGGAGUGCCUGUAAUGACUCCAUGUGAGCUUGAAUUAAUGAUCAGGAUGAUGACCAGCCGUGAUUGAGCUUUGGAAACCUGUCUUAGCCUCCAGCUAAACUGCUCAUCCAUGAUCAGUCAAUGGUAGUGGGGCCCAAGGAGGACGAUUGGAUGGGUGUGUGCCUGGUCACCCGUGAGUGCCAUCCAAGGUCUCCUCUGGAGCCCAGCCAACCUUUAUUACUGAACAGAAGAGGGAAACGGGCCUGUCACAGGAAAGUGAUAAAGCACCAUUACCACACUGCAGAGGAGGAAUGAGGACAGCCUGCUCUGACACAACUCCUUUCAUAAAGAGCUUCGCUCUUAACAUAUUGGACAGCCAGUCAAAGAACUCCAGCAAAGAACAAAAUGACUAGUCCGGCGAAAUCCUUUACUGGUAUUGACAUACCCUCUUUCAUUACACCCCACUGUGCUGUACUGCACCACAGGAAGGGCUCAGACUCAAACUCUUUGCAUGACAGAUGAAAUAUUUCAUUUCACAAAGCAAGUAAUUUGCACCAUAAUAUGAUGAAUCUGAACGAUCUGGGCAUAAGAGAAAGUAGUUGCACACACAUUUAUAUAUAUAUAUAUACAUAUAUAUAUAUAUAUAUAUAUGUAUAUAUAUGUAUGUAUAUGUGUAUGUCUGGCAGGCAUACUGCUGCCAUGGUUUGCUUUAGCAUCAUAGUUUAACCAUAGCAUGCAGCUGAAAUAUAGUCUUUAUUUCUUCGUCCAUAUUUGUCUUCUCGUCGUUUCAAGGCUAUGAAGUAAUGCACGUUAGUUUCCUCAUUUAGUUCCAUGUGAAGAAUUGUGGUGAGAUUUUAUGACUAAGAUCCAUCGUUUUCUGUAGAUGGCAGUAUUAAGUCAAGCAUUUUUCAGUGCAUUGUGCACCUCCCCAUGUCUGCCUGGAAAGAGUGUGCAACUGUAUGUGAGGACAGAAACUAACCUCAGAGACAAAUUCAUGCGUGUCUCUGUGUGUCCACACAACAAUGGAAUUUUUUUUUAACUCAGACUGUAAACAAACAGUUUGAAUGCCAUGGCUUGUUAGAGUGUUUAAACAAAAUAACUGUAUAUGAAUAUAAAAUCUAUCUUUUUUAA